GCUUGUCUCAAAGAUUAAGCCAUGCAUGUCUCAGUACAAGCCAAAUUAAGGUGAAACCGCGAAAGGCUCAUUAAAUCAGUUAUGGUUCCUUAGAUCGUACCCACAAUUACUUGGAUAACUGUGGUAAUUCUAGAGCUAAUACAUGCAAACAGAGCUCCGACCGGAGACGGAAGGAGUGCUUUUAUUAGAUCAAAACCAAUCGGUGGCGGGCCCGUCAUCGUACAACUUGGUGACUCUGAAUAACUUUACGCUGAUCGCACGGUCAUCGCACCGGCGACGCAUCUUUCAAAUGUCUGCCUUAUCAACUGUCGAUGGUAGGUUCUGCGCCUACCAUGGUUGUAACGGGUAACGGGGAAUCAGGGUUCGAUUCCGGAGAGGGAGCCUGAGAAACGGCUACCACAUCCAAGGAAGGCAGCAGGCGCGCAAAUUACCCACUCCCGGCACGGGGAGGUAGUGACGAAAAAUAACGAUACGGGACUCAUCCGAGGCCCCGUAAUCGGAAUGAGUACACUCUAAACCCUUUAACGAGGAUCAAUUGGAGGGCAAGUCUGGUGCCAGCAGCCGCGGUA
rnacentral:rRNA from 1 species